rnacentral:rRNA from 1 species
GACGAACGCUGGCGGCGUGCCUAAUACAUGCAAGUAGAACGCUGAAGGAGGAGCUUGCUUCUCUGGAUGAGUUGCGAACGGGUGAGUAACGCGUAGGUAACCUGCCUGGUAGCGGGGGAUAACUAUUGGAAACGAUAGCUAAUACCGCAUAAGAGUAGAUGUUGCAUGACAUUUGCUUAAAAGGUGCAAUUGCAUCACUACCAGAUGGACCUGCGUUGUAUUAGCUAGUUGGUGGGGUAACGGCUCACCAAGGCGACGAUACAUAGCCGACCUGAGGGGGUGAUCGGCCACACUGGGACUGAGACACGGCCCAGACUCCUACGGGAGGCAGCAGUAGGGAAUCUUCGGCAAUGGACGGAAGUCUGACCGAGCAACGCCGCGUGAGUGAAGAAGGUUUUCGGAUCGUAAAGCUCUGUUGUAAGAGAAGAACGAGUGUGAGAGUGGAAAGUUCACACUGUGACGGUAUCUUACCAGAAAGGGACGGCUAACUACGUG